rnacentral:rRNA from 1 species
AUUGAACGCUGGCGGCAGGCCUAACACAUGCAAGUCGAACGGUAACAGGAAACAGCUUGCUGUUUCGCUGACGAGUGGCGGACGGGUGAGUAAUGUCUGGGAAACUGCCUGAUGGAGGGGGAUAACUACUGGAAACGGUAGCUAAUGCCGCAUAACGUCGCAAGACCAAAGAGGGGGACCCUCGGGCCUCUUGCCAUCGGAUGUGCCCAGAUGGGAUUAGCUUGUUGGUGGGGUAACGGCUCACCAAGGCGACGAUCCCUAGCUGGUCUGAGAGGAUGACCAGCCACACUGGAACUGAGACACGGUCCAGACUCCUACGGGAGGCAGCAGUGGGGAAUAUUGCACAAUGGGCGCAAGCCUGAUGCAGCCAUGCCGCGUGUAUGAAGAAGGCCUUCGGGUUGUAAAGUACUUUCAGCGGGGAGGAAGGGAGUAAAGUUAAUACCUUUGCUCAUUGACGUUACCCGCAGAAGAAGCACCGGCUAACUCCGUG